rnacentral:rRNA from 1 species
AUGAUCCAUCAUUGUAGGAUGGGGCAUGUAUCUUUUGAUAAGAUGAGUAGAAUAUUUCCGGAUGUUAUGUGUGGAAUAGGCAAAGGCAAGCUGACAUGUGAUGCUUGUGAAUAUGCAAAACACACACGGGCCUCAUAUGUGAGUAAGGGGCUCAGGAGCAUAUCUCCCUUUAUGCUUAUUCAUUCGGAUGUAUGGACUAGCCCAGUGGUGUCAAUGAAUGGGAAGAAGUAUUUUGCUACCUUUAUUGACUGCUAUUCUCGCAUGACUUGGAUUUACUUGAUGCGUCACAAGGAUGAGGUGUUUAGCUGUUUUCAGAACUUCCAUGCUCUUGUAAAGAACCAGUUUCAGGUACAGGUCAAGGUGCUCAGGACGGACAAUGGAACGGAGUAUGUGAACAACAUUUUUGGGGCUUUCAUGGCUGACCAUGGGAUUCUUCAUCAAACUUCAUGUUCG